rnacentral:lncRNA from 1 species
CAUUAAAAUAAAAGAACAAAUUAAAAAUGAAAACUAACACGAGAACCGCAACUAGAGACUAACACAGUAGACCCACAUGAGAGGACAGCAGAAAUCCCAAAUAGUAAACCCACAGGAGAGAACCGCAGCACAUCCCAACUAUCAAAAGACAACAUCAGUCACCUAGAAUACUGCAAAAACAACCAAACAAAACGAACAGACAAACAGAUUUAGACUAUUUGAGGAGAAGAAGGGAUAAGAGGAAGGGAAAAGAUGAGAGAAAAAGAAAGGGAGAUGAGGAGAGGAAGGAGGAAGAUGGGUGGAGGGGAGGAGGGGCAGUGGCCACUUCCCCCCUUUAGCUUAUUUGCGGUUGGUUGUCAUCAAGAAAAAAGAGGACCAGAUGCGGCUAGGGUUUUUU